rnacentral:rRNA from 1 species
CUGGUUGAUCCUGCCAGUAGCAUAUGCUUUCCUCCUGGAGAUUAAGCCAUGCAAGUCUAAGUAUAAGUCAUAUACGGCGAAACUGCGAACGGCUCAUUAAAACAGUUAUAAUUUAUUUGAUAAUGUUCUUUAUAUGGAUAACCAUUUUGGGAAACUAUGGCUAAUACAUGCUUAAAGACCUCCGGGUUGUAUUUAUUAGUUUUGACCAAUCUUAGAUUGUGAUGAGUCAUAAUAACUGAUCGAAGCGCACUUGUGUGCGCUAAAUCUUUCAAGUAUCUGCCCUAUCAGAUUGUUGGUAGUGUAUUGGACUACCAAGUCGAUCACGGGUAACGGAGAAUUAGGGUUCGAUUCCGGAGAGGGAGCCUGAGAAACGGCUACCACAGCUACGGUAGGCAGCAGGUGCGUAAAUUACCCAAUCUAAAAUCUAGAAGGUAGUUACAGGAAAUUUGUUGCAUGGGGUUCUACCCCAGACACAAACGAACACAUGUAAGUAUUGUGUGUUUAAUUGGAGGGCAAGUUUUGGUGCCAGCAGCCGCGGUAAUUCCAACUCCAAGAGUGUAUCUUAAUGUUGCUGCAGUUAAAAAGCUCGUAGUUGAACCUCUGGCUAGUGAAGACCCUCAGGGGUGAUUCGCUAGUCAUCCGCUCGGAGAAGCAGUAUUUCCGUCAAAAGUUUUACUGUAGACCCAGCAUUUUACUUUGAAGAAAUUAGAGUGUUCCUGGCAGGCUUAGCUUGCAUAUAUUAGCAUGGAAUAAUGGAAUAGGACCUUGUCUGUUUUAUUGGUUGACAGAUAGGUAAUGAUUAACAGGGACAGUCGGGGGCAUUCGUACUCAGUGGCUAGAGGUGAAAUUCUUAGAUUCGCUGAAGACGAACUAAUGCGAAAGCAUUUGCCAAGGAUGUUUUCAUUAAUCAAGAACGAAAGUUAGGGGAUCAAAGACGAUUAGAUACCGUCGUAGUCCUAGCCAUAAACUAUACCGACUAGGGAUUGGUGUGGGUCAUAAUCCAUAUCAGCACCUAAUGAGAAAUCAAAGUCUUUGGGUUCUGGGGGGAGUAUGGUCGCAAGGCUGAAACUUAAAGGAAUUGACGGAAGGGCACCACCAGGAGUGGAGCCUGCGGCUUAAUUUGAUUCAACACGGGGAAACUUACCAGGGCAAGACCUUAGAAGGAUUGACAGAUUGAUAGCUUUUUCUUGAUUUGAGGGAUGGUGGUGCAUGGCCGUUCUUAGUUCGUGGAGUGAUUUGUCUGGUUAAUUCCCUUAACGAACGAGACCUUAACCUGCUAACCUAGACGCGGUUAUCUUUUAGCCGUUGUGCUUCUUAGAGGGACUAUGCGUCAAAAAAUGCAUGGAAGUUUGAGGCAAUAACAGGUCAGUGAUGCCCUUAGACGUCCUGGGCCGCACGUGUGCUACACUGGUACGUUCAGCAAGUUCUAACCUAACCCGAUAGGGGCUGGGUAAUCUUCAUAAUACGUACCGUGCUUGGGAUUGAUCUUUGCAAUUAUGGAUCAUGAACGAGGAAUUCCUAGUAAGUGCAAGUCAUCAUCUUGUACUGAUUACGUCCCUGCCCUUUGUACACACCGCCCGUCGCUCCUACCGAUUGAGUGAUCCGGUGACUUUCUGGACUUCUGGUUAACGCCGAGGAGGAAGUUACGUAAACCUUAUCACUUAGAGGAAGGAGAAGUCGUAACAAGUUUCCGUAGGUGAACCUGCAAAGGGCGAAUUCCACACACUGCGCCGUACUAUGAUCCGGCUGUACCAACUGCUAU